GCGUCGAUGAAUACUUGACACUUACGAUGCCGGCACAGAACCAAAAUACUAGCCAAACUGAACUAACCCCAAUUCUGAUUUCGUUUUAGAAAAGCAAUAUUUCUGCUGAUAUAUAUUAAAAUGUCGUCAAGAUCAACCCAUUACCGAAAGCGCCGUCAUUAUCUGGAAGAAGCAGAGCGUGAAUUCGAAGCCAAAUACAAUCGUAUGAAGGCUUCUGGAUCCUUUUGCCAUAUUGUGUAUUGUGUAUUGUGAGUGUUACAGUGCAGUGGAAAACCAUUCGUGAUCGCAUUGGAAACCAACGCAGAACCAGGCGGAUUGCUUACACGAGGCCAUUAGAGAAAUGAAAAUCGGGGCCCUAAGAAAGCCAUACGGGGGCCCCUAUCACUUUGGAAUACGUGUGAAUCCAGCGGGCAAGCGAACUCGGAACCCCCAGCAGCUAAUUAGUCCGCGUAUUGUGAAACGGGCCGUGUAAAGCCGAUACUGAUACCUAUCCAUUUCGUAUCAAAAUAACCGAACGCUAUCGUGCCGGAGUUAACCGAUUUGACAAUAAACCUUGCCUAUACAAAAAAUGUUUCAUGUGAACUAGACCAUCGCCUAUUUCGAAGCCGUCCAAAACCAAACCGAUAUCACUAACACAUGCAUACAACCCACCAGACAUUUUAGAUCACUUUGAGGCUAGGCCCUGAACUCCUCACCCUACUUGGCCCACAAAUGUGUAUUCGCAAUAGUGCGUUCUCUUUUCCUCGUAUUGGCUUUGGUCUUCUGUUCUGCUCUUCUGUAUCAUCGACAGCCGUUUUCGAUUCAACCAGUCGUGUAUGUACACGGUGAUUUAACGCGCAUGCGCGGUUUUGAAAAGCAAUAUUUCUGCUGAUAUAUAUUAAAAUGUCGUCAAGAUCAACCCAUUACCGAAAGCGCCGUCAUUAUCUGGAAGAAGCAGAGCGUGAAUUCGAAGCCAAAUACAAUCGUAUGAAGGCUUCUGGAUCCUUUUGCCAUAUUGUGUAUUGUGUAUUGUGAGUGUUACAGUGCAGUGGAAAACCAUUCGUGAUCGCAUUGGAAACCAACGCAGAACCAGGCGGAUUGCUUACACGAGGCCAUUAGAGAAAUGAAAAUCGGGGCCCUAAGAAAGCCAUACGGGGGCCCCUAUCACUUUGGAAUACGUGUGAAUCCAGCGGGCAAGCGAACUCGGAACCCCCAGCAGCUAAUUAGUCCGCGUAUUGUGAAACGGGCCGUGUAAAGCCGAUACUGAUACCUAUCCAUUUCGUAUCAAAAUAACCGAACGCUAUCGUGCCGGAGUUAACCGAUUUGACAAUAAACCUUGCCUAUACAAAAAAUGUUUCAUGUGAACUAGA